rnacentral:lncRNA from 1 species
ACAUUCCAGCCUGGGCAACAGAGUGAAACCCUGUCUCAAAAAAAAGCAGCAACUUCUCUCUGGGAAAGGCAGGUCUUGUGACAGAGGCAAACGAGAGAUGGCAGAAUCUCACAGUGGCAUUUAUAACUUCUGCUUUGAAGUGGCAACAUUUCCAUUCACAUGUCAUUGGCCAAAGCAAGUCAUGUCCAAACUAAUAUCAAUGCAAAGCAUAAUCCCAUAAGGACACAUCUGAUAUAGAGGGGCAGUGAAAAUGUCAACAAUAAUAUAAUCUAUGAGAGGAUACAGAAGCAUAACCAGUAAAUGUUAGUGUCCUUCCCUUUCCUCUUUUCCCUUACUGGUUCCCCCUGAGAAACACAAGUGUACAGCAUGGAGAGGCUGUGUGAUGUCAUAAUUAAGAGUGUAGAUUCUGAGAACAGACUGCCUGAGUUCAAAUCCUUACUCUGCCAUUUUCCAGCUGUGUGGCUUUGGGCAAGUUAUUUAACCUCUCUGUGCCUCAACUUCUUCAUGUAAACUGGCAGUAAUAAUAAUACGAAUGCCACAGAGCUGUGGAUGAAAUGAGCCCAUUCCGGUCUGGCUUCUUUAACCAGGAAGAUGUGGGCUGAGAGCUGUGGAGUAGAUGUCUUCACCAGAUGAGUACACAGAGAAGUAGAGAAUGUGUAUCUGCAGAGUAGGAUGAAGCAGAGACAAGUCUUGUGAAUAAGGUAUUCAGGAAGCACAGCUGUCUUUUGUUCCUGAAGCCGUAUCAGGAUUCAGCAGGAAAGAGCACCAAGAUCACUUGGCAAUGUUUAUCCUGAUCAAGCACGGGCACUGAUGGCAGAUGCAGGACAAAGGACAGAACUCUAAGUCAUCCCUGUGCUCACCUGAGACAAAUGCAUGUCUGAUUGCUUCCACUGAUGUAAAAAUGCAGAUUUGCUGAGUUAGACGAAGACGAUGGCAGAGAGCAGUCUUCAUCCUGAGCCCCAUUCCUAGGUAAGUAGCUGAAUUGGGGUUUUGUUUUGGAAAUUCUCCUUAAUGGCUAAAGUUAAGAUUAACAACCAGCUGGUCUUAAUUUCUUCUUACCAUUAGAGCACUCAGUAAUCUAAUAUAAAUUAUAAAUCUAAUAUAUUAGAUUUAUUUUGGGUUUGACCAACUCUAUCUGACUUGAUCAAAUCCAAAGGAAAGUUCCAAAUUAUGGGGAAUAAGGCCUCUGAAUUGGCUACAUUCCUGCAGCUGAAAAUAAGGAAAGAAAAAAGGGAAAAAGUAAAAGCAGCCAGGCCGGGCAUGGUGGCUCAAACCUGUAA